CCCAUGAUGUCGAUGUUUGUUCAGGUGUGCGGCAACGCAGUUUAAACAACUUCUUCGUCUUCUUCGGCAGGUGGGGCAUAGGUGUAUUGCGCACUACCGCCACCUAGUGAUGGAGAUGGGACGUGUCGCCAUGGACAUACAGCUGAUCUGUAAUCACGCGCAUGCGUUAACAUGUUAUGGCGCUAGAAACUCAAUCAUCCGCGCAUGCGCAAACAGCACCACGUGUUAGGAUCUUCAACUGGAUCUUCAGCAGCUGGACAGCUUCUCUGAUCUCCUGAUUCAGUUUGCUGAUAAAAUGAUGUUUAUCCCAAGAUUAACUUCUCAACAUAUCAGUGUGCAGUGGGUAACUCUUUUGGUCCUGGUUUCAAUGUCAUUGAAAGACUUGAGGUGGUGAGUACAUGUUCACGUUUGUUUUUACACUGCAGUCUGAAAGGAUGAAUUGGGUUGUACCCAUUAAACUUGUGGACGACAUCAUUGUCCCAUGGCAUUUUUAAGUCACCAAAGCACUGAUCAGACUGCUCUUAAUGCAUCCUGCUAUAGUGAGCGAUUGCUUCCUCUCAACUAGACUUUGUCUUGCAGAUGUUAAGUGAAUGCCUGUUGGUGACCACUGCUUGGACCACUGUGAUGGGUGGUGUUUGCCUGGAAGGCUGUGAGUGUCUUCAGAUCAGGACUGGUCAUCCUCUGAAACGAAGAUGUUUGUGCCAAAUGAAAGUCUUGGUUCAGAAGUGCUCUUAAAUGCAGUUGUCAUGGAUUGCAUUUUCAUGAACAGAAGAACUUAAUGGUGUACUGUGGGUUUCAGGGUGGGCCUGACAGUUUGAGGACUUGAACAGCUGAAACAAUGGACAAGCUGGAUGCUCUUUGGAACAAAGGUGUCCCUGAUCAGGACCAUAAGCCUGUGCAUGAAGAUACUGGUGCUGCCCUGGAUGAGGUCAUCUGUUCUGUUGUAGAAUCAACUUGGUGCUGGAGGCCAUGGACAUGUGAAGUUAUGCCUGUAAAUGCUGACAAGACUUAAUAAAGUUCUUAACUCAACUCUUCUGUGGUGCUUAGAUUUAUUCAUGGUGAUUGCAUCAUAUCUACCAGCAGGGUAAACUUUUCAUUAAGACCUUCAGAACUGUAUGCAGGGUGUCCACAGGGCCUUGAGGUCUUACAUUAAGGUCUAACAAUAAGGCCUUAAUUAGGACUAAUUCACAUUUCAAAGGUCUCCAUGCAACAGAAAAGCAGAUUAGGAUAUUUUGGCUUGUUGGGUUUUUUUU
ensembl:lncRNA